rnacentral:lncRNA from 1 species
ACUUUAUUGAUAAUGAUCUUAUUUCUUUCAUUAUAGGUUACUUGAUUUUUACCUAGGAGCAUAAUUACAUUUUUUUCUUUCCUUAGUGCAGGGUAAUUUCAGUAGAAUAUUCCAUAGUGUAGGUAAUUCUAUGCUUGUAUUUUCUCAAGUGUGUGGUGUGCUCUUUCAAUAUGUA